rnacentral:lncRNA from 1 species
CUGCUCCUCCACAGUACCACCUGGCACCACUGCCGCAGUACAACCUAGUGCCCCAGCCACGGUACUACCCGGCACCACCACAGUACAGUCCAGUGCCCCCAUCAUAUCAGCAGAUGCCACCACAGGACCCCCUAGUCUAUCCCCAGCCAGGUCCAGUCCCUCUCCCACGGGACCCCACUCCUUCCUUGAUCGACCCAAGCUACAUAGAGAGGUACAGGAGACUGAAC